UCCCUUGCAGGCUUUAGAAGGAACAUGGCCUUGCCAACACCUUGAUUUUGGACUUGUAGCUUUCAGAACUGUGAGACAAUAAAUUUCUGUUUUCAAAACCACCCAGUUCGUGGUACUUUGUUAUGGCAGCACCAAGAAAC
rnacentral:miRNA from 1 species